rnacentral:lncRNA from 13 species
CCCUGGUAGAUGCACAGCCGUUAGCAUAAACAAAUUGUUCUCUAUCAUAAACAUAACUAUAUAACCAAAUCUAUGUAUAAUCAAGAAAACCGUAAUAAUGCAAUUUAGAAAGUAAUAUUUAAUGAUCAACUGUGUCAAAUGCUUUGGAUAAUGCCCUGAAUUGACAUGUAAUGACGAACUGUCUGUUUUACACUAGCCAACAUCACCAAUGAAACCAAGCCAGAUAUUACUUGAGCAGCCCUCAACAUCAGGGAGUUACUAUGCCUCGAUCCCAGCAAUAGAGCAAACAACACAUCUAAAGGACAACCUGCCUGAGUCGUUUGCUAAAAUGGAAAUGGAACUGUCUACUCCUCCACAACAGCCCUCCCACACAGCAGAGCCCCAGCCACAGACAGAAGGCUCAGACCAUAUCCAGAUAAACUCUUCCUCCCCCAGGUGCCCUCUGCUCCACCCUUCUGGGGGUGUGUGGGUGGAUGGUUGAGAUGCUCUGUGCUUGGCUGGUAUCAGGCGUGUUCAAUCUGAACGCCUGUGUGCCCCCUACAAAUGAAGCCGAUACUCUGAAGCAAAACCAAUUCCGUAGAAGCUACCGCCAGGGCGUCGGCAGCCAAGCAGAGUACCUUGUGCAGAGUACCUUGUGCAGAGUACCUUGUGGAGCAGCAGGACAUCCAGCAGGAUGCACUACAGUCUGGUGAGGGAGGGACUAGGACUGGGGCUGGUGGAGAUGUGGCAUAGACAAGCUGAGUUGCAGAGCUUGGGUCAAAAGGUUUGAAGAAAAUGAACAGCAGAAAGAAUAUUGCUGUUCAUAAGUUUUAUAAUAUCAUGGAUGUCAGGAGGCUUCCACACCCAAGAACAAAUGAUGUCGUCGGCAGGCGGCCACCAGGUACAGUUGUCCCAGGGUCCAGGCUUUGGGCGGCCAGGCCAAUCAAUAUAUCUCAGGAUUUUUUAAAUCAUAACUGUUGUCACACAAGUGGCACGAACAAUAAUUGUAUGUGUUGAUCUAGGACAACCUGCCGAUUGGUUACGAACAGAGCAUAACUAAUGCCGAGUGAUGGGGCUAAUCUCAUAGUACUUGUUGUGUUUUAUAUGUUUUACAAUGUGUUAAUAGUUUUAUGUGUUUAAAGUGUUUAUUUAAAAAAAACUUGGAAUACAAUGUUAUUUCUUUAAAACACGUAUUUGUUUACUAUGGCGCGAGCUUCCUCUGCUUCCUGGAAUCCAACACAGCUUGCAUUGGGGUCAGGGUAUUUAGAUGGAAUUGCUGCCACCACACAGGGUGGGCGUACCCUGCGUUUGCCUCGACUGAGA